CAGCAGCCGCGGUAAUACGAAGGGUGCAAGCGUUAAUCGGAAUUACUGGGCGUAAAGCGUGCGUAGGCGGUCUGUUAAGUCUGUUGUGAAAUCCCCGGGCUCAACCUGGGAAUGGCAAUGGAUACUGGCAAGCUAGAGUGUGUCAGAGGAUGGUGGAAUUCCCGGUGUAGCGGUGAAAUGCGUAGAGAUCGGGAGGAACAUCAGUGGCGAAGGCGGCCAUCUGGGACAACACUGACGCUGAGGCACGAAAGCGUGGGGAGCAAACAGGAUUAGAUACCCCAGUAGUCCCUGUCUCUUAUAC
rnacentral:rRNA from 1 species